CCUGCAAGAUGUGUGUAUCUGUUUAAAACCUGUCCCCGAUAUCCUCGGCCACAGGCCAGCAGUCCGCAGCAUAGCAGCAAGUUCCUCCUUUCUCUCUGGGACCUUUCACUCAAUCGAUUUCGGGUCAAUUUCAGAUCGGUGACCUCCGAAGAGUUCAGAUCAUUCGUCCAGCUUAGUUGAACUUUAAAUGUUUUGAUAGCUUGAUGGCACAGCACUCUUGCAAUUUUGAGUCAUGUGAAGCAUAAAAGACCAAAGCUCCAAGGAGAAGUGGGCCACACAGCCUGCAUCACCAUUCGGGAGUCAGGACAGGAUUCUCCCUCAGUGCAUCAUAUCUCGGAGUUGCCUCUGCUUCAGCCCCAGUCAUCAGGGGAAGGAUAUAACGGACCCCCACAUGUCUCGGCUCUCCUUCCUGGUAACUCUCUGAGUCUGAUUUGGAGGUCUCCGUCUGAACAGGAUGAGCAACUGAAACCCUAAAGGAGCAAGACACUGAGUGGGUUCUCGCUUUUCUCCAGAGAACUUUCAAACUUUGAACUCUCUUUGCUGGUUUUGACUAUCAAAGUGCCGCAGUUAGAUCUGAAAGGAAUUCAACACCGUUGCCAAUAUAACCGCAAGUACAGAUAGUUUAAACAAUAGCAAGGGUGAAAUUCUACAGUGGAAGUGCCCUGACAUGUUGACUGUUAAUCCACAUCAGAAACUUGGUCUCUCUGGUCUGACGGCAGCAUUGGAGAAUCAAAGAGGAUUCAUACGGCUUUUGCAUUCAUGCAGUUGGAGGCACCGGGUGUUGCAAAGGCCAUGGGGCCUAACAACAUCCUAGCAAUAGUAGCGAAGACUUGUGCUCCAGACCUUGCCAGAUCCCUAGCCAAGCUUUACCAUAUAGCUACAACACUGGCAUCUACUCAACAACGUAGAUGGGUACACCUUAUACACAAAAAGCUGGACAAAUCCAACUUGGCCAAUUACCACUCCAUUAAUCAACUUUUGAUCAUCAGUAA